rnacentral:lncRNA from 12 species
UUGUGGGCUUCUCUUCACAGAGUUGUGACUCCAUAUAACAACUGCACAUUUAGCCAUGGCACACACGGAUACACAGACAUGCAACACCACAGAUGCAAAGUCCAGUCGCAAUCUACUUUGGCUCUUACUUCAAAGGAACCUCCUCCUACUCCCUUCCACCAGCAGCCAAAUUUUUCCUCUCUCAACUGCCUUUUCCAAGGAUGAGGUGAAGCCUCACCAAAGAGGAACAGCCACAACCAUGCUCUUUACGGAGAGUAAAAAAGUAAGAUGAGGGCUGAUAGCACCCAGUGACCAUGGUCCUGUGAGGGGCCGGGUCCUUCAGAGAAGGACGAGGAGGAAGGGGAAGGGGGCAUGAGGGAAAGGGGGUGAAUGGGGGGAAAGAAAGAUGGGAAGAGGGGAAAGAAGGGGUAGAGAGUGGCACUGAGCAAGGGGGACCACAGGGAAGAGAAGGAGAAACGGGGAGAUAAGAGAGACAGGGGUGAUCGGGCCCGGCCACAGCGCGCACCCCCUCACGGUGAGGCGCCGUGCCCGCGCCGUCCGGCGCGCAGAGAGCAGGGGCACAGCACCGGAGACAACCUCCCACCGUCAGGACCCGAUCCCUCUGCCAGCCAAUGGGAGCGCGCCGCCCCUCAGCGCCACGCCCGCCCCGGCUGUGGGCUGAGGGGGCGCGGGCGUGCCCGGUGUUCGGGUGUUGGCUGGUGUCCCGGUGCCUGACGGUGUUCGUGUGUUCAAGUGUUCCCGGUGUCCCGGUGGACGGGACGGGCCACGCGAGACCGCGACCGCCGCGCGGCUCUCGCGAGACAUCGCCCCGCCCAGCCGCGGGCAGAGGCCAAUCACAAGGCUCCGUUUCUCCCGCCUCCCUCUGCCAGCCAAUGGGAGCGCGCCGCCCCUCAGCGCCACGCCCGCCCCGGCUGUGGGCUGAGGGGGCGCGGGCGUGCCCGGUGUUCGGGUGUUGGCUGGUGUCCCGGUGCCUGGCGGUGUUCGUGUGUGCAAGUGUUCCCGGUGUCCCGGUGCCUGACGGUGUUCGUGUGUGCAAGUGUUCCCAGUGUUCCCGGAGUUCCCGGUGUUCCCGUUCCCGCCAGGGGAAGAACUGUACUGAAACCACAUGA